GAUGAACGCUGGCGGCGUGCCUAAUACAUGCAAGUCGAGCGAACGGACGAGAAGCUUGCUUCUCUGAUGUUAGCGGCGGACGGGUGAGUAACACGUGGAUAACCUACCUAUAAGACUGGGAUAACUUCGGGAAACCGGAGCUAAUACCGGAUAAUAUUUUGAACCGCAUGGUUCAAAAGAGAAAGACGGUCUUGCUGUCACUUAUAGAUGGAUCCGCGCUGCAUUAGCUAGUUGGUAAGGUAACGGCUUACCAAGGCAACGAUGCAUAGCCGACCUGAGAGGGUGGUCGGCCACACUGGAACUGAGACACGGUCCAGACUCCUACGAGAGGCAGCAGUAGGGAAUCUUCCGCAAUGGGCGAAAGCAUGACGGAGCAACGCCGCGUGAGUGAUGAAGGUCUUCGGAUCGUAAAACUCUGUUAUUAGGGAAGAACAUAUGCGUAAGUAACUGUGCACAUCUUGACGGUACCUAAUCAGAAAGCCACGGCUAACUACGUG
rnacentral:rRNA from 1 species